AAGCUAGCUGUAGCUUACAUAGCGAAUGUACCAUUGUAGCAUUAGCUACAUGUUGAUGAUCCUGGUAUCCUGAGCAGUUUUUACACCUCUCAACUGCCGUGACAUCUGAUGGCUGAUGCUGAGCAGCAGCCAUUUCCGUAAGCAGUGAGUGAGGAGAAUGGGAAUAGAGGGAUGAGAGCUUGAUGGAGACAGAGUGGGAGAGUUUAAAAAAAAUAGUGAAAGGGAGCGAAAGAGAGAGAGAUGUGGGUGGUUUUGAGCAGAGAGGAAAGAUGCUCUGCUCUGGAAGGCUGUGUGGGCGUUCGUUGCCGGCGAGGAGCUCAGGGAUGAGCCGAGCCGCCUGUGACCCUCUGUGGAGACUUUAACCCCUGGAUAACAGCUGCUCCGCACCUGGCCUGGACCAGAUCCCAGAGCCCCAAACAUGCAGGACUCCCACAAACCUCUUUCACAGCAACAGCAGGAGCAAAUAGAUGCUAAGAGCACUCAGAGCUUCACGAAGACCAUCCUUUUCCUUUUCUUUGACCUCAUCUCUCUCUGUGCCGUGUUUUAUCUCUCCAUCUCUGGUGGAUUGUGUACUACGUGACCGUUGGCUCUGGUGUCAGAGGCCCCGGAUGAAGAGAUGCCUACAGAUCAUCGAGUGGUCUUGAAAGCAUCACAUGAGAUCCUCUUGGAUGCACAUCAGAGGCAGCUCUUGUGGUGAAUUUUAUUCCACGGCUACCAGAACAUUGCUUCGAAAACAGAUUGUUCCAGUUGUAAAGCAAGAACAUAGAGACAAUGAGCAAACUGUUUUUUAUCACCAGUGCAUGUUACAAGGUGCAUGUGUGCAAAAUGUGUAAAUGCACAAGUGUUCAUGGCUUGUAUCCUGUCAUAUAAAUGUUUAUAUUAGAUAGUUGACAGAAAAAAUGUGGUGAUUGAAGCAACUCUUAAAUCACCCAGUCUGAGAAAUCUGAAAAUCUUUGUGGAGACUUUUUUUAAAGAUUGUAUGCAAGUAUUUUUAACUCAUAUUUUUGUCACUGAAAUUGUUUUAAGGGAAGAAGCAAAUGAAUUUGUUUAAUUACUUUUGCGUUACUUUGUAACACAGGUCUGAGGUCAUGGUUCUCAGCCCCGAAUCGGGGAAGUGAGCUCUCAUUUUUGUAUCUCCUGCACAAACUAAAGUCAGCAUUAAAUAAAUAAAUGAAUCAAAUAAAAAUCA